UCUAUAGAUUAAUCUUCAUCCUGUCUUGGAUAAAACCACUUAUCAUCUAGUCAACAAGGAAAGACUAGCUAAGAUGAAGAAGGAAGCAAUUCUUAUAAACUGCAGUAGAGGACCUGUUAUUGAUGAAGCUGCACUUGUGGAGCAUUUAAAACAGAACCCGAUGUUUCGAGUAGGCCUUGAUGUGUUUGAGGAAGAGCCCUACAUGAAA